rnacentral:rRNA from 1 species
UACGUAGGUGACCAGCGUUGUCCGGAUUUACUGGGCGUAAAGAGCGCGCAGGCGGUCGUUCAAGUCGAGUGUGAAAGCCCCCGGCUCAACUGGGGAGGGUCACUCGAUACUGAUCGACUUGAAGGCAGGAGAGGGAAGCGGAAUUCCCGGUGUAGUGGUGAAAAUGCGUAGAUAUCGGGAGGAACACCAGUGGCGAAGGCGGCUUCCUGGCCUGUUCUUGACGCUGAGGCGCGAAAGCUAGGGGAGCAAACGGGG